rnacentral:rRNA from 1 species
GACGAACGCUGGCGGCGUGCUUAACACAUGCAAGUCGAACGGAAAGGCCCUGCUUUUGUGGGGUGCUCGAGUGGCGAACGGGUGAGUAACACGUGAGUAACCUGCCCUUGACUUUGGGAUAACUUCAGGAAACUGGGGCUAAUACCGGAUAGGAGCUCCUGCUGCAUGGUGGGGGUUGGAAAGUUUCGGCGGUUGGGGAUGGACUCGCGGCUUAUCAGCUUGUUGGUGGGGUAGUGGCUUACCAAGGCUUUGACGGGUAGCCGGCCUGAGAGGGUGACCGGCCACAUGGGGACUGAGAGACGGACCAGACGCCUACGGGAGGCAGCAGUGGGGAAUAUUGCACAAUGGGCGGAAGCCUGAUGCAGCAACGCCGCGUGCGGGAUGACGGCCUUCGGGUUGUAAACCGCUUUCGCCUGUGACGAAGAGUGAGUGACGGUAAUGGGUAAAGAAGCACCGGCUAACUACGUG